ACAAACUUGGUCAUUUAGAGGAAGUAAAAGUCGUAACAAGGUUUCCGUGGGUAAACCUGCGGAAGGAUCAUCUUUGAAUUUGAUCACCAAAUUUCCAGGGGGUCUGUGACCCAAUUUUGGGUUCAGGCUUUCUUAAUUAAUUCUGGGAAUUUGUACUUUUCUUUUGACGAGUACAUUUACCCGAAAAAUUUAAAAAAAUUAAUUACACAACUUUUAACGAUGGAUCUCUUGGCUCCCGCAUCGAUGAAGAACGCAGC
rnacentral:misc_RNA from 1 species